rnacentral:rRNA from 1 species
CCCCGAUGGGCCAUGGCUCCUGGAAUGGGCUAUGGCUGAAAUCUACAUGGCCCCAGGAUGGGACUGCGGCCGAUCAGGUUGUUGGUGGGGUAAUGGCCCACCAAGCCUAUAACCGGUGCGGGCUCUGAGAGGAGGAGCCCGGAGAUGGGCACUGAGACAAGGGCCCAGGUCCUAUGGGGCGCAGCAGGCGCGAAACCUCCGCAAUGGGUGAAAGCCCGACGGGGUCAGUCCGAGUGGUUCCCGCUGAGGGAACCUUUUGCCAGCUGUAAACAGGCUGGCGAAUAAGGGGUGGGCAAGUUUGGUGUCAGCCGCCGCGGUAAUACCAGCACCCCGAGUGGUCGGGACGAUUAUUGGGCCUAAAGCAUCCGUAGCCGGCCCAGUAAGUCCUCCGUUAAAUCCAACGGCUCAACCGUUGGGCUGCGGGGGAUACUGCUGGGCUAGGGGACGGGAGAGGCGAGGGGUAUUCCCGGGGUAGGGGUAAAAUCCACUGAUCCCGGGAGGACCACCAGUGGCGAAGGCGCCUCGCUAGAACGUGCCCGACGGUGAGGGAUGAAAGCUGGGGGAGCGAACCGGAUUAGAUACCCGGGUAGUCCCAGCCGUAAACGAUGUAGGCUCGGUGUUGGGCUGCCUCAGUGGCAGCCCAGUGCCGCA